AUUUUAUUUAAAAGAUUACUAGCAUUAUAAGGAACCUUUGUGAUCAUCUAGUCCAAAACAUUGACUUUACCAAUAGACAAAUCCAAGGCCAGGGCAGCUAGCUUUUUGCAGGAGGCAAAACCUGGAUGAAAACCUUUUCUUCAUAAUUACAUGUUCUUUCCAUUACAUAUGGAAGUUCACUUAGAGCCAUACCUCAGGACCUCAGGUAGCCCCCAAAACUAGCCUCACCAUCAAGUCAAAUAGAAAUGUGACAUUGUAUCCAGGAGCCUGUAGUUAGUACCUGGGCAUGUUCCCAGGAUUGGCUCCCUAAAGCUUCACUAUUAAUUCAAAGAAGCUCACAGGGAAAAUGAAACUUCCAACAUUCAAAAGUAUUUGACACCAACUAGAUAUAUAUGCAUUAAUAAUAUGACUCUUCUCUGCAGAAAUCCUCAGUCACUAAGUAAUAAGGAAAAAUGAUGGGCUUGUACAUUACCUUGCUUACUAUCUGCCAUGGCCAAGGUGGCAUUGUUAAAAUAUGCCCCCCCUUUUAGUCUCUAGUUGUGGACCUUUAGACACAUGGUACUUGUUCCCUGAGUCAAGGUAGGCUUUCUCCCCAGUGCAGUGGAACUCACUCUGUUAUGAUGGAGAAUGACUGUGAGGACUCGCAGAGCCGCUGUAUCAUUUGAAACAUGCUAAGUGUGACAUAGUGACUGUAUAUCAUCAGGUGUUUUGUUUUCCUCUAAAAUAUGCUGGACAUUCUUCAGAGCUUGUUUAUCCAAAUGGGCAGGUAUGAGACGAUUCUCAGAAUCCUGAAAAUGAGAAGAUGUCAGACAAGAAAUGGCCAAAGUAGGUCAAAGGAAAGAAGAGGCUGCAGAACAGGCAUGGGUAGGAGGAGUGACUACAUUGACAUUGUUUUAUGAAUGUGAUAACAGAGGAAACCACAAGAAAGGAAACAAACUUACUGGGGAGCAACUGAGAACACCAGUUAUUUUCCUCCUGAAGAAUUGCUUUGUGAGAGACCUCUGCUCUUUUGUGUGCUGGUGAAUACAAGAUGAGAAUCUGUCUUCCCUUUUUUUCAACAAUGACCCUGAACAAGAGCAUGCUCUCUGUUUAAGACAUCUCUUCAUUCUGAAGCAACAUUACAAUGUGAUCAAACAGAGUCCCCUCGGUUUACGUGGCUGAUCUGAGUUGAAUAGUGUAGCUGACAGUUCCCUUUGAACUGCCUCAUCUGGGAACUGAACCAAACCUUGAUUCUGCAUCUCUCACUGUGCUUACUGUGACCUCUACCUUGACCCCUGGUCUCUACUCUCACUACCCCAAGUCAUAAUGUCUGUCUCAUCAGAGAGAGAGAGAGAGAGAGAGAGAGAGAGAGAGAGAGAGAGAGAGAGAGAGAGAGAGCGAGCGCAGAAUAAUGCAUAUUUCUAAAACUUGUCUGAUUAUCACAAAUGUCCACAAACAUAACCCUUUAAAGGUUAUAAUCCUGGUCUCAAAAUGAUUCUUUUUGUAAACUAAUAUUAUAUUAAGUCUUUGAAAAUUUCAUACAAUUUAUUUUCGGCAUAUUCAGACACCCCCAACUCCUCCCAAAUCCACCGUACCUUCCUACCCACCUAACUUUGUGUUCCCUUUCUUUAUUCUUAAGGCAGUUCUUAUAAUUAGAUACUAUAGUAUGCAGAGACAUUUAAAGGAAUGACAUAAAAAAGCAGAAGAUAACAAUGAAGAUCUGCUAGUAAUUCUGAAGUGAAAAACCUUUAGUGAAAGUUAUCCUGCUGACAGGCAGUUUGGGAUAUUCCAUUCUCAGUUUCCCAUUUGACCAGGGCAAUUUGAUGACUAAGCUCGGGAUCCACAUCCUUAGGAGAGUUAUCUCAAGUUUCUCUGAGUUAUCUUACUUCUGCUAGUGAUGAUAAUUUUAUGGAUGACCUUCUGGUCCAUCUUGUCAGUGCUCAAGAAACACCUAUUUCUUCUUGGUCAUGUCUUCAUUAUGCUAGCAGGCUUGCUAGCUGUUCCUUUCCUGCCUCGUGUCUUGUCGAGGACUCACACUGUGUGACAGUUGUUAAUAAUCCCAAAGGCUUUGUACCCUGAGAGGUAGAGACCAUGUCUGGUAAACAGUGUUUGUCAAGUGAAUGUCUGAUGUAGACUUACAAAAAGUUCACAUGGGAAAGGAGCCAAAGAUCUUAUCCCAGGAUAAGAAUAGGAAGUGGAAGGAAGGAUCUAUGAUCAGCUGGACUUUCAGGCACUCUUCAGAUACAGUUCCUUAUUUAUCUAGAGUUGCUAUAGAAUUAAUUGCAGAGGUCACAUUGAGCUUCAUUGCUUUGCUUCAUAAUAGAAGAAGCUAUGGGAUGACAUGGGGCAACAGCUCUAGGAAUGGCCUUAAAGCUGUAACCCAGCACUGGUUAUAGAGGCUGCUGAUUAGAACUUCCUGGUUGUAUGGCUAGACAAUGCUUAGAAGGGAGCCAAUACAUAGGAUAUUAUUAUGUGCUCAGAUCACAAGUGCACACAAUGAAAUACAGGUGGUGAUAAUAAUAAUUAACUAGUAAUGUUUUAUAUUGUGACAUGAAGGUGAAUAUACUCUUUUCUAGUUUCAUGAAACUGCUUCCUCAAGCCAUCGUAAGCAAUAUGAGAGGCAGAGAUCUUUGAGCAUCCUCUUCUUGGAAGUGCCCAUCAUCAUCACCUCAUAGAGAAUUUACAACCCUCACAUUGAUGCUCCUUUGACUGAAGUGUGUUCCCUCAGAAAUAACUCCUGUCAACUAGCUUGGCUUCAUUCCCAAAUCAAGUGUUAGUAAAACCAGAAUUAUCCAGGGAAAUGGAACUGUGGAGAUUUUAUUAUAGGAAACUUUUGUGUCUAAAAGUCUGGACCAAGAGGGAAAGGGCAAGCUGUGGUAGAACAGAAAUCAGCUGUUCAGUCCACUCAGAAGACCUGAUGAGAGAGUUGAUCAUUGAAGUCCACUCGGCAUACAUUUUAUUUCCUCUUCCCAUGCAUUUUGUGGAGCAGAUUUUAAGGAGAAAGGGGGAGCUGCUUGUUCAGCAGAAGCAGUGGGAGAAUUCCUGUUUGCUCUCAGGAAGUCUUCACAAAUCCCUCAAAGCUGUUACCCUCUGUGGCAUGAGGUGGGAGGGCAGGAUUAUUGGGAAUCUUUCUGACGAAAGCUGUGGGGAAAGGUGUGUAAAACGGAGGGGAUCUACGUGCACAGCCUCCUCUCUGCUUCUUAGUUAUGUAGGUGGGUAGAAGAGGUUCAUGGCUUACUGAAUGGGAGAUAGACCUUGGAUUUAUAUCCUCCAGGAUCCACUUUUGGGAGUCCCAUAAUUUUCCUUCCUCAGUACUCAGCUUACCCUUUUCCUGGCUGCCCCUGCCCACUCUCCUGGUCUCCUGUGUCAGUCUGGCCCUCUCAGUGAGUUCCACCCCCACUCCCUACUAUGACAGCUGUAUCAGGUGAGAGCAUUCCACGUAUGAAUACUUCCCUAGACCACUAGCUGCAGUAGGCAAAGGAUCUCCUGUCCUUGUGGCAAGGUUUCCAGGUGACCUGGUACAGAGGCUCUCAGGUGGCCCCAAAGCCGUAAUCAUCUCUGCUGAGCGCAGAGGCUGCUUUGAACUGGUCAUAUGAUUGAGUGAGGUUUAGAGAAAAAGGGAGGUAACUCUACUUGGAUGAGGUAACCAGCCUGAGACUCUAGUAGCCAUGCCCACCAAAUGAAGUAAGCUUGUCAGACCCUAUCCAUUGUCAGAGUCCCAUGAGCCCUGUGUCUGAAUAGACCUGUCUAUCCAAGAGACUUCUUCCUCCUCCCCUUCUUUCUCCUUCCUUCUUUCCUUUAUCCCCAUCCCUUCCUGUUGUCCUUCUAGUCAUUCAGCAUGUUUAUUUCUCAUCAAGUAUGUUGAUAAUGCCUUUCAUACUAGAACUUAUUCAAAUAUUCCUUUGGUUUUUUUUUAAUUAGUUCUUUUGAGGAUUUCAUACAAUGUAUUUUGAUCAUAUACAUUGCCUCCAGGAUACCUAUUUUAAGUCACUUAAACUAUCUAAGACACAGGACACUCAGUAUGACUAGAACAACAAUGUUUCACAUUGUAACUUAAUUAGUGGUGCAAAUUACUCCCAAAUGAAUACAGGUCCUUUUGUUUGGAAGACAUGGAGAAUUUCAGAUCUUCUAUUUCCUAGAGUAUCAAACGAGUUAUGGGGCCCUGUGUGUGGGGAGAGGGGGGAGGCUUGUGUAUUGCAUAACUCAUCAGGUCCUACCAAGGAAGCUUCCCUGACUGUGAAACUGUUUCACAUCCUCCUCCUCCUCCUCCUCCUCCUCCUCCUCCUCCUCCUCCUCCUCCUCCUCCUCCUCCUCCUCCUUCCUCCUCCUCCUCUUCUUCUUCUUCCUCUUCCUCUUCCUCUUCCUCUUCUUAAGAUAUUUUCUUCAUUUAUAUUUCAAAUGCUUUUUACCCCCUUUCCUAGUUUCCUCUCCGAAAAUACCCUAUACCCUCCCCACUCCCCCUGCUCCCCAACCUAUCCACUCCUGCUUCCUGGCCCUGGUAUUCCCUUAUACUGGAGCAUAGAAUCUUCGCAAGACCAAGGGCCUCUCCUCCCAUUGAUGGCAGACUAGGCCAUCCUCUGCUACAUAUACAGCUAGAGAUAUGAGCUCUGGGGGUACUGGUUAGUUCAUAUUGUUGUUCCUCCUAUAGGGUUACAGACCCCUUUAGCUCCUUGGGUACUUUCUCUAGCUCCUUCAUUGGGGACCCUGUGUUCCAUCCAAUAGAUGACUAUGAGCAUCCACUUUUGUAUUUGGCAGGUACUGGCAUAGCCUCACAGGUGACAGCUAUAUCAGGGUCCUGUCAACAUGUUUCUUAUUGCUUAUCCUCAGAUACUGUUGCUGUUGGUCUCUGUAUCAAUUCCAUAGUCCCACUCACUCAUUGCUGAGUAGGUUAACCCAGGGGAUAGGAGGCCAAAGUAGGAAUAUGGGUAAAAGACAACUUGGUUCCUUCUAUUCUCCUUAUUUGCAGCUUUUCCAUUGAUCCUUCUACCUUGCUCAGGGGCAGCUGCUUCCUGAGGCCACUAACAUCUUGACUGCCCUUUUUGUUUCCCCUUUGACGUUUUAGAGACCCCAAUCUCUUUCUAACUAGUGCCCCUGAUUGAUUGUUCUUUAUCCUGCAUGGAAUCUGUAUGUGUAUCUUAGAAGGUUACAACUGUAAGGACGAAAUUUAUAUUAUAAGGCAGCAGGGUUUUUUUUCAGUUGUCAGUUGCAAUUCAUUUAUGAGUCAAAAAAUUAAUAUAAAGAGUCCAAACCUCCAUUUAUAAUACUAAAUAGUGUUGAGUUGAAUACCAAAUAUUAUUAUGCAUCAUGUGCCACAUAAGUUUGCAAACUUACAGUUGUCUAUAUACAUAUAUGUGUUGUGUGCCUGUUCAUGGUGCAGCUGAUGUCUAAUUAUAUAAUUGAAAUUCAAUGAUCUAGGGUUUCUGGCACAUAAUAAGCACUCAAUAAUUCCUAGUAACUAUCAUUACUGUCCGAGACCGUGUCAUAUGAACACUAUCCAGUCAGACAGCACAAAGAGUUUACCAUUCCAACUCACUUGAACUCAUUAAAAUAGUUCCAUAUAGUUAUGUCAGGGUGUAUUCAAAUGGCCAAACCAUGGCCUUACAUUUGUUUGAUUAUACCUAGCCAGGCACAGCCUGAGUCACCCUCCUUGGCUGAGAAAAGAGGCAAGCAAGUCCAAGGAACUGAAGCAUUUUUAAACUUACAUUUUAUUUUCCUAUGAGUCAUAGCAAAUCUGUCCCUGCAGCAUCUUUUCCUGUGACUGAGUGCUCUAAGACAGACAGGUUUCUUCCCAAAUCUGGGGGUAUGCAGGAAGAGAGGAGAGAAAGCACCUCUCCCAUCAGCACAUGAAGGACAACUUCUGUCCCACCUCCUUUUCAAAAGCAUCAAAAGGCUCCCCAGGAGCCAUGACAUUGAUAACUAACAAAUAUUAUCAGCUUCCUAACACCUGCUGGUAGAAAGGAAGAACCAAAAUUGUGCGACUUCUCUCUUUUCCACAGCUACCGUACUUAUAAGUGGUGCUAUUAACCAUGUGAUAAUGGCCAUGAAGAGCAAAGGAUUGGACAAAAGAAUAUUUAACUUCUUUACCUUUUCAGGAAAAUAAACCCAAAUGAGUCCUUCCAUAUCCAGAGAACCAAUAAUCAGAGGGACAGCAGAAUGCCAAGAUUUAUAUGAAUCCCUUUGUUUGAUGUUUCCUGAAGACAUUAAAAUCUUCCCGGGGCUGACAGCAGGCACCCUAGGCUCCCACCUGCUGAUGUGACAGCAUCCUGGGCUCUCCCAUCUUGUGGCUGGUUUUCAGUGUCUGAUGUGACAAAUGUACACCUCUACUCUUACAACGGAUAAUGCUUGCCACUCACCACAGUGAAAUGGUGCAGAACCCACUAACAGUUACAUAGGAUUCCAUUGUCUGAUUCAUUGACUCCUCACAGUAGCCCUGUGGGGAUAGAGAGCUUCAAUGAUUAUCCUCAUUCUCUAGUUGAGCAGACAAAUCAAGAAGGCAAACACCUUGCUCAGAUUCACACGACCAGUUUGUCAAAGCAUCAGAAUCAGUCAAGGCCAUGGAGCCUGCUAUGUCAAAUUCAAUAUGGCCCUCUGUGUUGGGGCCAGGAACUGGAAGGUCUGUGUUUUGAGUUUCUCAUCACACAGUUUAUCUGGUCUGCUGAGAAAGCAAGUUAUCUCCAAUAUCUCCCUCUUAUCUAUAAUGUAAGGGAAUUUUCAGAGUCAUUUAGAAUUCUUUUAAUGUUCCUUUUCAUGAGUUUUGAAAAACGGUUGUCUUACUUAGGGUUUCUACUACUGUGAGGAAACACUAUGACCAUGGCAACUCUUAUAAAGACAAGCAUUCAGUUGGGUCUAGCUUACAGUUUAGUUCAUUAUCAGCACAGCUAGAAGCAUGGUAACACACACACACACACACACACACACACACACACACACACACAGCCUGACUUCAGGUUCUGGAACCCAAAAGCCCACCCUGAGUGACACAAUUUCUCCACACAGCCAUACUGACUCUAAGAAGACCACACCUCCUAAUCCCUGUGAGGUAGCACCAUUCCCUAAUGACCACACAUCCAAAUGGCCUAUGAUAGCCAUUCCUAUUCAAACCACCACAUCAGUGUCCAAAGAAAUAAUAUUGACUCAUCUAAUAUCUAUGACCUACAGUAUUUCAAACAUCAAUUACUACAUAUUCAGACUAUCUAAGAAGGGAUAAUUUGUCUACUGAUACAUACACAAGCUAAAGCUUACAACAGCUUGGAUCUGUGGUCAAGUAUCUAUCUCCUAAUUUUUGUCCCUUCUUCUGUCUUAAAAUUGCCUUUGUCCUUCAGUCUCUAGGGAAUGAGCCCCAGAUUUCUACAAUUCAGAGUCCAAGUAGACUGGUGAGAUGUAUGUGUUGUAACAAUACACUGAGGAGCUAUUUGGGGGAAAUGGCUUGGGGGAAGUCUCAGUGCUUACCAUGUUUUCAAUUAGAAGUGUGAGGCCAGAGAGAGCCACCCUCCUGGAUGGAGGUUCCUACUACCCCUUGAGCUGAUUAAAUGUCUUAUAACAAAAAGUAAAUCUGUACCCCAACUCAGGUGCUUGGACAACACGGAACUUUAUCAGGCCUGGGUAAUUGGUGAAAUUGGCUCACUAUCCUUCAACUGUCACUAUGUUCCCUAUAUGUCCACGUCAGAGAAAAUAUUACGUUUCCCUUCUAAUGGCUGACUCACAAAAUCGUCAACUCAACAUGUUAAAUGGAGAACUUACGUUAUUGUCCCUCUUCUGUCAACUUUGUAUUAAAAUGACAGUGGAGAGUAAGAAGGAAGGCAUGCUGUUUUAGCUGGGGAGUUGUCAUCAUUAAUAGAAUUCAUUCCCUACUUUGUACUGUUUGUUUCAUCUCCUAAUGAUGGGAUUGAAGCUGACUACUGUAGGCCUGGUACAACCAGUGAAAUCAGCCACCAGGAUGCCUCUGAGAGACAACAACAGUGAUCCAUGAUUAUCUCCUACUACUUUUAAGACCCAUCUGGAAAUGCAGCCCGCGCUGAUCUCAAACUUGGGAGCUGUUUGCCUCAAUUUCUCCUGUAUUGGCAUUACAGCCAUACACUGCAUCGUGCCUGCCUUCACAUGUGUUUUAUGAAUGAAUGAUUUUGCUCAUUCAAUAUGACAUUUUUUUUCAACUUUUUGUUGAUUCUUUGUGAAUUUUACCCCAAUCCCACUCAUCUCCCUGCCCUAACCUGUACAACUUUCCUCUCAAAAACCAACCAACCAACCAACCAACCAAACAAACAAACAAACAAACAUCUUGCCUUGGAAAGUCCAGUAUGUCUCAGUGUAUCACACAGUAAACCCUUUUGCCCAAAGAGCUCUUCUUGCAAAUGUUCAUUGCAGUGAGUCAUCGGUCUGGUUUAAGGCCUCUGGCUUCUGAUGUUCUAUCAGUAUUGGAUCCUCACAGGAACUCCUCUUGGAUAUGCGGUUGUUGCCCUGUGACUUGGAGAUCUCACGGCUUUGGCUCUGGAGGAACACCCUCUUCAUGCAGUCCAGUAGUUCUUAGAUGGGGUGGGCCAACUCAAAGUUCUAACACUGGACCUGAGUGGUAGCUGAGUUAGUUGUUCAGCCUGAUAGCUCUCCCAUACCUAUGCCUCCUGGGCCAGCUCUCUAGCACUGCCCAGGCGAGGGGCAGGGCCAGCUCUCCUGCUUCUAUGUCUUCAGGGACAGCUCACCCAUGCCUCUGUCACCGGGGCCAGCUCUACUAUGCUGCCCAGGAGUGCCAAGUGCUGCAGCCAGUAUGAGGGACAGUGAAAACUCUGCAUACCCUGCAGAUAUCAACAUGGCUGCAGGUGGCAGCCCAGACCAGGGAUAUCCAUAUGGCCUUAUGUGGUCACAUGGGCCAUAGACAUCAACACAGACCCCCAACUACGGCAGGACCAUGGAUCCACUCAUGGCCCUUGGUGGCAGCAUGGGUCAGAACCUCACUAUGACCUUAUAUGGCUUUGCAUGCUAUUCCCGUCCACCUACUCCUCACUACCCUGAGUCUCCAGUUCCAUCUUUCUUCACUGUGCACAUACCAUACUGCUUCUCUUUCUCUUCCAUCUCUUUACCACUUAACUUGCUCAUCUUAGAGGUUCCUGGGACCUCUGGGGGUCUUCUGUGUGACUUUAGGAGGGGGUUUUCUCAGGUGUGCUGCACCUUAUUUCUGCCCUCAAUAUGACACACUUAGCCCCAGUUGAGUUUUUGCUUCUUUACAUUUCCUGGGUUUGUUUCUACAGACUUUACCUUCAAGGCAUAUUUGAUUAAUUUCUCUGCUCUCAAAUAUAUAAAAUUCUCAAACAUGUCUUCUACAAUCAGAAAGAAGAAGCUGAAGGAAUGGCUCAGGGGGUAAGAUUGCUUGCUGUACAUGUAAGAGAGCAUGAGUUCAAAUCCCUAGUGUACACAUAGAAACCUAUGAAUAGAGAUAUGGAAAUACACAGACCCCAGAAAUUUGCUAGCUAGCAAGCUAAGCUGAAAUGGGAACCCGUGUUUAAAUAUAACACACACACAUAUACACACACAUGCUCACAAAGUCAGUUCAGAACUCACCCUACUUUUGUUAGCUUUCUCCUGCAUUUUGUUUUGUUUUGUUGUUUUUCUAUUUAUGUUUUUAAUCUAGGAAAUAAUUUGACUUUGGUAUUCAUGAGUAGUUCAGUUUUUAUAACUAUUAUCUAUAAUAGUUUUAAAGACAGUUUGAGGAAAAUAGAAACACAACUUUUCAAUGUAUAAUAUGAACUAGUAUUCUUCCAGGCAUUUAAGUGGCAUUCAUAUGAAAAUUAAUAGUAUAUGACAUAUUAAGACAUGUUUAGUCUUAAUACCAGAGGACCUAAUCCCAUAGACAAACCG
rnacentral:lncRNA from 1 species